UUUUUGUUUUUUUUUUUUGAGGUUGCUCUUAUUCUGCACUGUUAACAGAAAUCCUACUGAUGAAUAUAUAAACUACUGCUCUUGUGAAAAAUGAAGCAUUUCUAUUUGGUGUUCAUUAAAAAUUUAAGUCAAUGCUUAUAAGAAGCAUUUAAUAUCAAGUUGUGGGUAUCCCUGGGAAUCUUUGUUCUUAUCCCAUGCUUCAGUAUUUUGCACAGCAGUAGCUCUGUUUGUCUGAGGAGAGUGCUGAGUUGUGGAAAUAUAGCUAUCCUCCUGGCCCUUCAAAUAAACUUAGAGUUAGCUCAGAGAAAAUUCAUGUAAAUAAUUUCUCAACAAAAUGUACAUGUGGUAUACUUGAUGCAAAAUCCAUAGAAGUAGAAACUGGCAAUCUCAGCAAUGAUAAAUCUGGUGGUCCGGAGACAUUAACAUACCUGUGUUCAGAUUCCAGAGUACAUAUGGCAAAGAUUCAAGAGGUACUUCCCUAAAGGGCCACAAAUACAGGUUUUGGAGUCCAACAGACCUGUGUUUGAAUUUGUUUAAGUUAGCUUGGAUUCAGUCUAUUUAUUUGUAAAAUAAAUGAGUGAGGAAUGAUGCUUACUUUAGAAAGACUGAGUAAAUCCACGAGCAAAAUCCUACCUGACAUACAAUAGGAAGGGCUCAGCUUGGACUACUUUUCUUCCCUUUCGUUUCCCAUCUGCCAGUAACCUAAGGGCUUAGCUCUUCCUUUGAGGAGAUUUCAAGCAAAGUAUAAGGAAAUCAGACAGAAACUACAUACAGAAGUGCAAAAGGUGAAAUAUUGGCAAGAAUUAAUUAUAUUGGUAACUGUAAAUACUUAAAUUGUACUACGAGUUAGGCAUUGUGCUAAGUACUUUGCAUGUAUUGUCUCACUUAUAUUUUUCAAAAAUCCUAAUAUAAUGGUUAGUUUUAUUUAUGAACUUGACUGGACAAUGAUAUUCCUAUACAUUGGCCAAACAUUCUGGGUGUAUCUAUGAGGGUGUUUGUGGAGGAGAUUAACAUUUUGUUGUGGUGGUGGUUUUUCUUUUCUUUACAUUUUAAUCAGUAGAGUGAAUAAAGCAGAUUGCUAUCCCUAGUGUGGGUGGGCCUCAUCCAGUCAACUGAAGAGUGAGGAAAACUACCAAAGGCCUAGUAAGAGGAAACUCCUCCUGCCUGACUGAUUCAGCUGAGACAUUAGUCUUUGCUGGUUUUCAGACUCAAACUGAAACAAACUUUUUUCUUGGGUCUUGAGUCUGUUAGCUUGCAGACUGAAACUUAAACCAUCAGCUCUCCUGGUUCUUAAGUCUUUGGACUUGGACUGGAACUACACCACUGGCUCUCCUGGGUCUACAGCUUGCAAACUACAGAUCUUGGGACUACCCAGACUCCAUUAUCCAGAAUCCAAGUCCUUAUAAUAAACCUUUCACUCUCUCUUUCUCACUCACUUUUAGUCUUGCGCUCGCACUCUCUCUCUUGCUCUACACACACACACACACACACACACACACACACACACCCCUCCCUACUGGGAAUCCUGACUAAUAUAGUUAACUACUAUUACAAACUCAAUUUUUAGAUAUAGCCUUAAAGAGAUUAUGGAUUGCAUUGCCAUUAAGUGGCAAAGCUGUAAGUUAGCACUAAAUCAAAUCUAUCUACAGCCAAAGCUCAUGUUGUUAACAGUAUUUACUUAUGGGUCAUUAUAGCCUACAUGGAACUCGUUGUAUUUAUCUUCCCACAGCCCAGAGAUUAGAGCCUACAGGGAUUAGAAAGUGAGGAAAAAAAAAGAUUGGAACAGCUUGAGUGCAACACACAGAAUAGCUCAAAUGCAAGAGCAAAUGACAACACACAUUCUGCCUCAGCAUGAGGAGAGCAUAGGGAAUCGUGGCUACUAUGAAGGACUGAGCCACUUCCUCGCAGUGUAAAGAAAGCUGUAGGUAGAUAGCUCUAUUCAAGUCCAGCAACAUGAGAAGGUGGGCCUAACAUUGCCAGCUCUUUCAACUAUUCAAGAGGGGCCAGAAAUCUGAAUUUUAUAAAAACAGUUUCUAAAUGUUAUCAAAUAACAAUUUAUGCUGAGAUUUAGCAAAACAGGUCCGUAGGCUAACUGGAGGCAGUGACUAAGCCAGUGUGAAGACAAGAAAAAUCUCUCUCACUCUCUACCCCAUCCAUAUACCAUCCACCCAGCCAGUCUUCUACCCACCCAGCCAGCUAUCCUCUGCAAUCCUCCCUUUCUAUUUUCCUCAAGAAUGUCCACUGUUGCAAUUUUCCUAUUCUGUCUCCUUAAAAUUCUUGUGUCCUAUAUCCCUCUUCUCAGAGGAAACCUCUACCCCUCAAACAAUAUAUGCUGCCAUAUAGAAAGAAAGAAAGGUGAAAUAGAGAUCACAUAGCACUAAAGAUUUUCAGAAACCAUGGCAUAGGCUAUGGACCAAUAGUUUCUAAAGCAAAAUACCAGGACUUCUUUUUAAAUAUCCAAGCAUUUCAAGACCUAUAACAUCAGUCAUACUUACAAUAGCCAUUUAUUAUAAUAUGUAUGAUUAUAAAAUGUGCUAUUAGUUCAGUGUUAUUUUGAAUAAAUUUACAUGUGUUAGUAACAGCACUUUCUAUGUACUUUGAAAACAGUGUGCAUGAAUAUGUAUACUCACACUAGAUAUCAAAUAUAUAUGAUAUGGUGUUUUAUCUAUACCCAUGUCUGAUAUAUAUGAACACUAUAUAUAUGCACAUACUAUGUCUAUAUGUACACACACUAUGUGUGUAUAUUAACACAUUAUAUCAUGUCAGGCAUAAUUUAAUCAGUUGAUAGACAAUGCUUUUGUGUGCA
rnacentral:lncRNA from 1 species